GUGGGGAAUAUUGCACAAUGGGCGAAAGCCUGAUGCAGCAACGCCGCGUGAGGGACGACGGCCUUCGGGUUGUAAACCACUUUUAGUAGGGAAGAAGCGAAAGUGACGGUACCUGCAGAAAAAGCACCGGCUAACUACGUGCCAGCAGCCGCGGUAAUACGUAGGGUGCAAGCGUUAUCCGGAAUUAUUGGGCGUAAAGAGCUCGUAGGCGGUCUGUCGCGUCUGCUGUGAAAACUGGAGGCUCAACCUCCAGCCUGCAGUGGGUACGGGCAGACUAGAGUGCGGUAGGGGAGAUUGGAAUUCCUGGUGUAGCGGUGGAAUGCGCAGAUAUCAGGAGGAACACCGAUGGCGAAGGCAGAUCUCUGGGCCGUAACUGACGCUGAGGAGCGAAAGCGUGGGGAGCGAACAGGAUUAGAUACCCCGGUAGUCC
rnacentral:rRNA from 1 species